UGAUGCUGGCUUUGAACUCUGGAUCUUCCUGCCGCAGCCUCCUGAGCCGCUGGGAUUACAGGAUCCAGUGGAAGACCUGAGGUGUGAAAGGAUGGUAGAAUCAAUACAAGGAAGGAACCUGGGAAUCUGAAGCAGUACAUGAAAGAAGGCCUCCUCCCAGCCACCCCUGCCCUACUGUCACUUCCAAGAAAUUGAAGCAAGCAAGAUAUGUGUGAUAAACUACAGAGAUUUUAGGGUUGUUUAUUUUAGCAAUUAGCCUAACUGACAGAAAUGGUUGUCAGAGUUACAGUUUAGUACAAACCUGAGAACAUAUUAGUAAUUCUCAUUUCUCCUCUGACAAAUUCAGGAGAGCCAUAUAUUUACUUCACAUAAAGAUCCAUAUAUUAACAUUCACCUGUAUAGGCCCCACUUUACAGUCCCCCAGGGUUAUAUAACAGUCCUAAUACACUUAUGAAUAUUAAAUUGAAAUGUGCAAUUCUUAUGAAUGCCUCAGCUAUGAAUUUCAUCCUCAGAGUGGUUCAGCUAUCAACAAGUCCAGGGCCCUCUGAUCCACUGCACAUUAUUUGAGUCAAGAUCUUCUUCAUUAUUUUAAAUCUAACAAAAUGGUUAAAAGCCAGGCAUUCAUGGGAUGGACUUGGCUUACAUACCCGUUUUAUAAGCUCAUGUAUCAGUUAACAUUUUUAAAACUUCAAAAUUUUUAAAAUUUAGGUCAUUGCACACUAAAUGUAAGUUUCUGGCUUUACUUGAGGUGUUGAAAUAUCUUGCAACACUGGUUCUACCUCCAUGCUUAGCCUUAUGGGGCUAGAGCUGAGUAGCCACCAGCUUCCCAUAAAUGAAAACUGUUCUUGAUAGUUUCCCUACAGCAUCUGCUUAUAAUCACCAAUUAUACUUGGUACCUCUGGAGGUUUAAGUUUAUGACCCUGCUCUAGCACAUAUGUAAGAUCUGCAAUCAGUUACUCCUAUAUAUAAUACCUGUUUCAAGGAUAUGAGUUUUUAGUUUUUGAAGUGUCAAUACUUACAGGAUAUCCAGGGAAAGGUGGGUAGCCUGUGGGGGGAUAGCCUGGGUAUGACAUUCUGUAAUGAUAAGAAAAAAAAUGUCCUCUGUAAUUUCUGGUAAGUUUUAAAGCCUUUCAAGAUACUCAGGCACACAUGCAACCACACAGAAGAUUUAUGGUAGGUGUCAAAAUGUGGAUAUUAGGGAUAUAUACAACAUUUAUAAUAGAUGCUUCUUCAUUUGGCUAUUUGCACAGAUCAGUAUAGUAAAGGUUCCAACUUCAUUCUUACACCAUACAGUUUAUCUCAUCUCUGAAUUCUACAACUAUUAUUUAGGAAAUACUUUAGGCCGAUUAAUUUUUACUUAUAUUCAUUUUAAAAUUAUACUUUUGUAUUGCUUUCAUAAAUGAAAAACUUGCAGUAGUUUUCUGACAGAAAGUGAAGGUACUAAAAAUGAAUACAUGCGGAGCAUACUGGCCACGCCUAUAAGCCUAAUGGCUAGGGAGACUGAGGCAGGAGGAUCAUAAGUUCAGCAACUUAGUGAGACCCUGUCUCAAACAAAACACAAAAAGGGCUAGGGAUAUGGCUCAGUGUUCAGUGCUCCUGGGUUCAAUUCCUGGUACAAAAACAAAAAUAAGUAAUUAAAUAAAAUAUGCUUUCCAGGUAUCACAGAAAUUCCCUUAUAUGGAAAUAUAACCCUAUUAUGGAAAAUGAUGGCAUAAAUGUUGAGAGUUAACACAGAACUGGUGCAGCAGUGAGGGCUUAUAGAGUCAGCUAGGGUAGAGGAGCAGUGAGCCCCUGGCUCAAAAAAAAGUAAAAAAAAAAAAAAAAAA